rnacentral:rRNA from 1 species
GACGAACGCUGGCGGCGUGCUUAACACAUGCAAGUCGAACGGACAGGCCCUGCUUUUGUGGGGUGCUCGAGUGGCGAACGGGUGAGUAACACGUGAGUAACCUGCCCUUGACUUUGGGAUAACUUCAGGAAACUGGGGCUAAUACCGGAUAGGAGCUCCUGCUGCAUGGUGGGGGUUGGAAAGUUUCGGCGGUUGGGGAUGGACUCGCGGCUUAUCAGCUUGUUGGUGGGGUAGUGGCUUACCAAGGCUUUGACGGGUAGCCGGCCUGAGAGGGUGACCGGCCACAUUGGGACUGAGAUACGGCCCAGACUCCAACGGGAGGCAGCAGUGGGGAAUAUUGCACAAUGGGCGGAAGCCUGAUGCAGCAACGCCGCGUGCGGGAUGACGGCCUUCGGGUUGUAAACCGCUUUCGCCUGUGACGAAGCGUGAGUGACGGUAAUGGGUAAAGAAGCACCGGCUAACUACGUG